UACAUAUCAAUAAGCGGAGGAAAAGAAACCAACAGGGAUUGCCCUAGUAACGGCGAGUGAAGCGGCAACAGCUCAAAUUUGAAAUCUGGCCUCGGCCCGAGUUGUAAUUUGCAGAGGAUGUUUCUGGCGCGGUGCCUUCCGAGUUCCCUGGAACGGGACGCCAAAGAGGGUGAGAGCCCCGUAUGGUUGGACACCAAGCCUGUGUGAAACUCCUUCGACGAGUCGAGUAGUUUGGGAAUGCUGCUCUAAAUGGGAGGUAAAUCUCUUCUAAAGCUAAAUACCGGCCAGAGACCGAUAGCGCACAAGUAGAGUGAUCGAAAGAUGAAAAGCACCUUGAAAAGGGGGUUAAAUAGUACGUGAAAUUGUUGAAAGGGAAGCACUUAUGACCAGACUUGGGCCGGGCGGCUCAUCAGGGGUUCUCCCCUGUGCACUCCGCCCGGCACAGGCCAGCAUCGGUUUUCGCGGGGGGAUAAGACCGUCAGGAACGUAGCACCCUCCGGGGUGUGUUAUAGCCUGGCGGACGAUACCCUCGCGGGGACCGAGGUUCGCGCUCCGCAAGGAUGCUGGCGUAAUGGUCAUCAGUGACCCGUCUUGAAACACGGACCAAGGAGUCGUCCAUUAGAGCGAGCGUUUGGGUGUAAAACCCGCACGCGUAAUGAAAGUGAACGCAGGUGAGAGCUUCGGCGCAUCAUCGACCGAUCCUGAUGUUCUCGGAAGGAUUUGAGUAAGAGUUUUAACGGACGGACCCGAAAGACAGUGAACUAUGCUUGUAUAGGGUGAAGCCAGAGGAAACUCUGGUGGAGGCUCGCAGCGGUUCUGACGUGCAAAUCGAUCGUCAAAUAUGAGCAUGGGGGCGAAAGACUAAUCGAACUGUCUAGUAGCUGGUUACCGCCGA
rnacentral:rRNA from 1 species